GCCCAACCUCCCACCCUUGACUACCUAACACUGUUGCUUCGGCGGGGAGCCCUCUCGGGGGCGAGCCGCCGGGGACUACUGAACUUCAUGCCUGAGAGUGAUGCAGUCUGAGUCUGAAUAUAAAAUCAGUCAAAACUUUCAACAAUGGAUCUCUUGGUUCCGGCAUCGAUGAAGAACGCAGCGAACUGCGAUAAGUAAUGUGAAUUGCAGAAUUCAGUGAAUCAUCGAGUCUUUGAACGCACAUUGCGCCCCCUGGCAUUCCGGGGGGCAUGCCUGUCCGAGCGUCAUUGCUGCCCAUCAAGCCCGGCUUGUGUGUUGGGUCGUCGUCCCCCCCGGGGGACGGGCCCGAAAGGCAGCGGCGGCACCGUGUCCGGUCCUCGAGCGUAUGGGGCUUUGUCACCCGCUCGAUUAGGGCCGGCCGGGCGCCAGCCGACGUCUCCAACCAUCGGCGAGUGAAGCGGCAAGAGCUCAAAUUUGAAAUCUGGCCCCUCCGGGGUCCGAGUUGUAAUUUGCAGAGGAUGCUUCGGGUGCGGCCCCUGUCUAAGUGCCCUGGAACGGGCCGUCAGAGAGGGUGAGAAUCCCGUCUUGGGCAGGGUGCCCGUGCCCGUGUGAAGCUCCUUCGACGAGUCGAGUUGUUUGGGAAUGCAGCUCUAAAUGGGUGGUAAAUUUCAUCUAAAGCUAAAUACCGGCCGGAGACCGAUAGCGCACAAGUAGAGUGAUCGAAAGAUGAAAAGCACUUUGAAAAGAGAGUUAAACAGCACGUGAAAUUGUUGAAAGGGAAGCGCUUGCGACCAGACUCGGCCUCGGGGUUCAGCCAGCAUUCGUGCUGGUGUACUUCCCCGGGGCCGGGCCAGCGUCGGUUCGGGCGGCCGGUCAAAGGCCCCAGGAAUGUAUCGUCCUCCGGGACGUCUUAUAGCCUGGGGUGCAAUGCGGCCAGCCUGGACCGAGGAACGCGCUUCGGCACGGACGCUGGCGUAAUGGUCACAAACGACCCGUCUUGAAACACGGACCAAGGAGUCUAACAUCUACGCGAGUGUUCGGGUGUCAAACCCGUACGCGCAGUGAAAGCGAACGGANGUGGGAGCCCCUUUUGGGGCGCACCAUCGACCGAUCCUGAAGUCUUCGGAUGGAUUUGAGUACGAGCGUA
rnacentral:sRNA from 1 species